GAGGCGAAGGCAGCCGGUUGGGCCGGGCUGAGAUUUAAAAAAAAAAAAUGUUUCCUUCUUUAUCCACAAUGGAAGUAUCCGACGGUUGGGGCGGUCGGUGGACGAACAGCAGGAGGAACGACGCAAGCUCUCCGCUCAUGUCUACGCGCCACUUGAAUAAAUAAAACAUCAAGCGCCGCUGUGAAUUAUGAGCACCCGGCUGCAGGUAACACAACAUGUGAUGCACGUCUCGGAGUGUCCGCCCACGCAGGAUUCAUCUCCUCCAGCCGAGGCGGUAGCUAAGGAGAGCCUGGUUUGAUAUAUCACCUCGCCUUUGAGCCACUGAAUUACUGUCAUCACGAGGACCCAGCUGAAAAAACAUGUCGGCUGCUCUACGUGGAAUGGAUCAUCAAUGACAGCCAAUUCAUACCACGUUUUUUGUGUGGAAUGUUUGAUUUAUGAAAAUGAAGCCGAAGUUCAUCCAACAUAUGUUAAUGUGUUUUUCAUUCGUCCUGUGAGGACGUUUUAAGUACCGCCUUUCGUCAGGUUCAAAAUGUGCAAGAGUUUCCCGUUUCGCAGGCCUUCAUGCACCUGCAGAAGUUAAAAACGAAGCUUUGCAGCGUCAAUAAAUGCCAUCCAUCCGUCCAUCUUCUUCCGCUUAUCCGAGGUCGGGUCGCGGGGGCAGCAGCCUAAGCAGGGAAACCCAGACUUCCCUCUCCCCGGCCACUUCGUCCAGCUCUUCC